rnacentral:rRNA from 1 species
ACAUGCAAGUCGAACGCUUCACUUCGGUGAAGAGUGGCGAACGGGUGAGUAAUACAUAAGUAACCUGGCAUCUACAGGGGGAUAACUGAUGGAAACGUCAGCUAAGACCGCAUAGGUGUAGAGAUCGCAUGAACUCUAUAUGAAAAGUGCUACGGGACUGGUAGAUGAUGGACUUAUGGCGCAUUAGCUUGUUGGUAGGGUAACGGCCUACCAAGGCGACGAUGCGUAGCCGACCUGAGAGGGUGACCGGCCACACUGGGACUGAGACACGGCCCAGACUCCUACGGGAGGCAGCAGUAGGGAAUUUUCGGCAAUGGGGGAAACCCUGACCGAGCAACGCCGCGUGAAGGAAGAAGUAAUUCGUUAUGUAAACUUCUGUCAUAGAGGAAGAACGGUGGAUAUAGGGAAUGAUAUCCAAGUGACGGUACUCUAUAAGAAAGCCACGGCUAACUACGUGCCAGCAGCCGCGGUAAUACGUAGGUGGCGAGCGUUAUCCGGAAUUAUUGGGCGUAAAGAGGGAGCAGGCGGCACUAAGGGUCUGUGGUGAAAGAUCGAAGCUUAACUUCGGUAAGCCAUGGAAACCGUAGAGCUAGAGUGUGUGAGAGGAUCGUGGAAUUCCAUGUGUAGCGGUGAAAUGCGUAGAUAUAUGGAGGAACACCAGUGGCGAAGGCGACGAUCUGGCGCAUAACUGACGCUCAGUCCCGAAAGCGUGGGGAGCAAAUAGGAUUAGAUACCCUAGUAGUCCACGCCGUAAACGAUGAGUACUAAGUGUUGGGGGUCAAACCUCAGUGCUGCAGUUAACGCAAUAAGUACUCCGCCUGAGUAGUACGUUCGCAAGAAUGAAACUCAAAGGAAUUGA